AACAGACCACGGGAGUCCCGGGUGAUCCGGUGCGGGGCUGAGAGUGGGCACACCCGGAAGGCCGGCCUGCCCUGACCGUCACACCUGAUCCGGAUCAUGCCGGCGAAGGGAGCAGCAGAUGACCGACC
rnacentral:ncRNA from 1 species